CUGCCCUCUCUCAUGAGGGUGCACACUUGGACAGGACUUCACCUUCCCACCUCUUCCCUGGGGGAUGCAUGCUGUUUCUCUCACCGUUUAGUGGCUCAGGCAGGACAGAGAGAAGGCCCCUUUUGGGCUUGUGUCUCGAUAGCAUUCUCCAGCUCAGCCUUGCCAGAGAGGUCAGAGUGCUGUGGGUUCCCCGGCACUUGUCUGGCUGUUAAUACAAUCGAUGUUUUGGUUUCCUUUUUGCUCCUUGUUCUCUGGACACCUUCUCCAUUGGCCAGACUCAGAGGGGCAGAGGGAUGACGUGCUGGUGGCCCUCCCUGGAGCUGUGAUGGUGAAGUCAAAGACUGGCCUUGGGGGACCCAAAUACAGUGGAUUUUAACAGCAAACACUCUAAAGAUACCACUUAGUUUCUGCCACAGUAUGAUGCUGGCAUUAGCCAUGGGAUUCCUGCACAGCUCAAGUGCCCCAUGUGUCUUUUGAGCCUUGAGGAGGAGACUGACAUGGAGAUGCCUUGCCAUCCCCUCUUCCAACGCAACUGAACCUUCCCUGGUUAAGCAAGACAAAUUCCUCCCGCUAUGCUGCCGUGAGCUGCUCACUGAUAAUGACAUGUAGGAGGAACACAGAUGAGAUGAGGCCCACAAGCAGCAGCAGAAGUGUGGCUGGAGAACCUGCAUGGAGCCAGG
rnacentral:lncRNA from 1 species